rnacentral:rRNA from 1 species
UGGGGAAUCUUGCACAAUGGGGGCAACCCUGAUGCAGCGACGCCGCGUGAGCGAUGAAGCCCUUCGGGGCGUAAAGCUCUUUCGACCGGAACGAUAAUGACGGUACCGGGAGAAGAAGCUGCGGCUAACUACGUGCCAGCAGCCGCGGUAAUACGUAGGCAGCGAGCGUUGUUCGGAGUUACUGGGCGUAAAGAGUGCGUAGGCGGUUUUCUAAGUUCGGUGUGAAAUCUCCCGGCUUAACUGGGAGGGUGCGCCGAAGACUGGGUAGCUGGAGUGAAGGAAAGGCAGGCGGAAUUCCUGGUGUAGCGGUGAAAUGCGUAGAUAUCAGGAGGAACACCGGCGGUGUAGACGGCUUGCUAGACCAUAACUGACGCUGAGGCACGAAAGCGUGGGUAGCAAACA